rnacentral:lncRNA from 1 species
UGCAGCGAUUGCUCACAUGAACUGAUCUGAUACCAAGUCGAAGUGACCUGCUCUCAGGCUCAGCACUUAAAGAAGCUUCUGAUGAACACAUCCCUGCCCAAUAAGAAGUUCCAGAAGGAAUUAAAACCAAAACUUAAAUGUUGAAAAGAAAGAGAUCACCAGUAGCCACCAAAGAAGUCAUCCAUGUUUUCCCAUAUGACAUCCAGUGAAAACAUAGCUGCAACAUCAGAGAUCACCAUUUGAAAAUCCAA